rnacentral:rRNA from 1 species
UACGAAGGGGGCUAGCGUUGCUCGGAAUCACUGGGCGUAAAGGGUGCGUAGGCGGGUCUUUAAGUCUGGGGUGAAAUCCUGGAGCUCAACUCCAGAACUGCCUUUGAUACUGGGGAUCUCGAGUCCGGAAGAGGUGAGUGGAACUGCGAGUGUAGAGGUGAAAUUCGUAGAUAUUCGCAAGAACACCAGUGGCGAAGGCGGCUCACUGGUCCGGUACUGACGCUGAGGUGCGAAAGCGUGGGGAGCAAACAGG